rnacentral:rRNA from 1 species
AGCGAACGCUGGCGGCAGGCCUAACACAUGCAAGUCGAACGCCGUAGCAAUACGGAGUGGCAGACGGGUGAGUAACACGUGGGAACGUGCCCAAAGGUACGGAACAACUCCGGGAAACUGGAGCUAAUACCGUAUGUGCCCGAGAGGGGAAAGAUUUAUCGCCUUGGGACCGGCCCGCGUCUGAUUAGCUAGUGGGUGAGGUAAUGGCUCACCAAGCCGACGAGUAGUAGCUGGUCUGAGAGCAUGGCCAGGCACACUGGGACGGAGAGACGGCCCAGACUGCUACGGGAGGCAGCAGUGGGGAAUAUUGGACGAUGGGCGCAAGCCUGAUCCAGCCAUGCCGCGUGAGUGAUGAAGGCCCUAGGGUUGUAAAGCUCUUUCGCCAGGGACGAUAAUGACGGUACCUGGAUAAGAAGCCCCGGCUAACUUCGUGCCAGCAGCCGCAGUAACAC